CCUGCUCUUAGAGGUGUUGCAGGUGUGACUGCUGUGUCACAUGUGUGUCAGUAGGUGGCAGAAAGGAGAGACACUAUGUUUCUGCUCAGUGUUCUGACCUAUGAACAUCUAAAUGAUUAGUGGCCUAACAAU